rnacentral:rRNA from 1 species
UAGCAGGCCGCAGUACCUUGGACUGUGCGUAAGGUAGCAUAAUCAAUUGGCUUUUAAUUGAAGUCUGGAAUGAAAGGGAUAAUAGGAAAAAACUGUCUCAGAAAAAACUAUUUGAAAUUAUUUAGUAAGUGAAAAUACUUAUAUUCAGAAAAAAGACGAGAAGACCCUUAGAAUUUUUAUUAAUAGAUUCAAUUUAUAUAAAUUUUAUAUUUUAGUUGGGGCGACUUUGAACCAUUUAAACGUUUAUUAAAAUACUCAACAUUAAGAUUUAAAAGAGCAAAUUAGCUUAGGGAUAACAGCAUAAUUUUUUAUAAAGUUUGUGACCUCGAUGUUGGACUAGGAACUUAAUGAUUAACCGUCAAUAUAGAUUGUUCUGUUCGAACAGAAACUCCUACAUGAUC